rnacentral:lncRNA from 1 species
AGAGACAAUAUGUGUUAGGUAUAUGUAGGGUCACAGCCAGUAAGUACGACCGUGGUGAUAGUUUAGAUAAGGAAAUGAAAUGAAAAUUGCCCAAGAAUGGGUUGGUGAUUCACAGCAAUAGCUGGAAAUCUCUUUUGCCUUCAUUGGAUAUAUGUUGUAACGAUUUCGUGCAAAAGUUAGUAAAAGACUUAAUAAAACCUAAUUAUGGAUAAGGGUGUUGAUCAUAAUUUGUAUGAUGAUUCUUUUCUUUGUUGAGUAUGCCAAUCAUACUAAUUGAAUCUCUGUGAUAAUUUAUAAGAUAGUUCUUCUGUUUAUUAAGUAUGCUACUCGUACUAGUUGAAUCUCUAUGAUGAUUUGUAUAAUAGUUCUUCUAUUUACUAAGUAUACUGCUCAUGUUAGUUGAAUCUCUACAAUGAUUUAUACGAUAGUUCUUCUAUAUGUUGCUCGUAAUAAUUGAAUCUUUAUGAUGAUUGGUUCUUCUAUAUGCUGCUCGUACUAAUUGAAUCUCUAUGAUAAUUUGUACGAUGGUUCUUCUGUUUACUAAGUAUGUUGCUCAUACUAGUUGAAUCUCUAUGACAACUUGUACGAUGGUUCUUUUGUUUAUUGAGUAUGUUGCUCGUGUUAGUUAAAUUCUAUGAUGAUUUGUACAAUGGUUUUUUUGUAUACUGCUCCUACUAGUUAAAUCUCUAUGAUGAUUUGUAUGAUGAUUUUUCUAUUUACUGAGUAUGUUGCUCGUACUAGUU